rnacentral:rRNA from 1 species
AUGCACGCUGGCGGCGUGCUUCACACCUGCCAGUCGAACGGAAAGGCUCCUGCUUGCAGGGGUACUCGAGUGGCGAACGGGUGAGUAACACGUGGGUGAUCUGCCCUGCACUUCGGGAUAAGCCUGGGAAACUGGGUCUAAUACCGGAUAGGACGAUGGUUUGGAUGCCAUUGUGGAAAGUUUUUCGGUGUGGGAUGAGCUCGCGGCCUAUCAGCUUGUUGGUGGGGUAAUGGCCUACCAAGGCGUCGACGGGUAGCCGGCCUGAGAGGGUGUACGGCCACAUUGGGACUGAGAUACGGCCCAGACUCCUACGGGAGGCAGCAGUGGGGAAUAUUGCACAAUGGGCGCAAGCCUGAUGCAGCGACGCCGCGUGGGGGAUGACGGCCUUCGGGUUGUAAACUCCUUUCGCUAGGGACGAAGCGCAAGUGACGGUACCUGGAGAAGAAGCACCGGCUAACUACGUG